rnacentral:lncRNA from 1 species
AGAACUCGGUUUUGGGCACUCAGAAUAUACCCUCUCCAACGCCUCCACCUGCUCAGCCGUGUACCGGACAUAUUUCCCUGAAUCAAGAUGCUUGUUUAUGCUCCCACUGCUACUCUCUCUGUGUUGCUGUGCCACCAUAGCCAUUUCCCCCAAACCNUUCCCUGAAUCAAGAUGCUUGUUUAUGCUCCCACUGCUACUCUCUCUGUGUUGCUGUGCCACCAUAGCCAUUUCCCCCAAACCUCAAAUUCUGAAAUCCCAAAAGCGAAACCAACGCCAAAACUACGCAAAUUUUGAAUAGUCUG